UCCGGCGAAAAACCGGCAGUCUCACCAGACACGUGUAACUGGCGAUGGGGGUUGCGCUCGUUGCGGGACUUAACCCAACAUCUCACGACACGAGCUGACGACAACCAUGCAGCACCUGUGCAUCACCCUCGAAGGAGCCGGCUUUCACCGGUUUGCAGAUGCAUGUCAAACCUGGGUAAGGUUCUUCGCGUUGCGUCGAAUUAAACCACACGCUCCGCUGCUUGUGCGGGCCCCCGUCAAUUCCUUUGAGUUUUAAGCUUGCGCUCGUACUUCCCAGGCGGCCGGCUUACCGCGUGAGCUUAGGCCCACAGAGGCGGUAAAACCUCCAUAGACCGAGCCGGCAUCGUUUACCGCGUGGACUAC
rnacentral:misc_RNA from 1 species